AUAUUGACUGUGAUGUACAAUAGGCCUCUUGAAUUUAUUCCUCCUAACUGAAAUUUUGUACCCUUUGACCAUCAUCUUCCCAGUCACACCCCCACGCCUCUGGUAACCAUCAUUCUACUCUCUAGUUGUAUGAGGUCAACUUUUUGAGAUUCCAUAUAUAAGUGAAAUAAUUAAUAUAUUUAUCCUCCUUCCAGAUAAUUCAAGGAUCUUAGCAUUUUGACUCUAGUCAACUCUAAUCUUACAAUCCAUUGUAUUGCAGUAUUUUAAUUCUCUUCUAUUAAGCCUUACAAACUGGAUGUUAACAUUAUUGUGGUUAUUGUUUCAGAGAGUCAAUAUUGACACAGGUUUACCUGAAUAUUACCCACGAUUACCAUCAUUCCUUCUUUCUACUUAGAUCUCCAUCAUCCUUCUUGAAAUAUAAUUUUUAGAAGAUCGAUUGAUGAAUUUUUGUCAAUGGAAAAUACACUUUUACUUUCUCUGAAAAUAUUUUGUCCACAUCAGUUAUUUUCUUGUUCAGUAUUAAGAAAACCUAAUUUUUAUGUUUUCUCCCUGUCAUUGUUGAUAUUGUUUGCCAUCAGGCUGUCAUUACUUUUUAGGUAUUCUAAACUGUUACUUCUUUAAGUACAUCAUUGUCUCCCCUUAAUCUGUUCUCUUCAUAAUGUUUUAUUUAUUUGUUUCACUAUGAUGAAUUCUGGACAGUUUCUUCUGAUCUUUCUAUUUAGCUGUAUCUAAUCUAGCUGUAUCUAAUUAAGUCAUCUGUCAAGUACAUUUUCUUAGUAUUUUAUUUUAAUAAUUUUAUUUACUAUUUCUAGAUUUUUUAUCUAUAUUCAUCCUGUGAUAAUAUCUUCUUCUUUAUAUAUAUUUUAUUUAUGUAUCUGAUAACAUUAAUGACUUAAACCUUUGUAAGUCUAAGUAUAUUUUUAGUUUUUGUGCUGAUUUCAUUCAAAGGAACUUAUUUUUACAUGUAUUGUUUGUGUUCAUGCAGGUGUGUAUGUUUAUCAUCACUCUAUGCUCAUCUGUACUAUAUCUCUGGGAAUUCUUCAUAUCCUAUAUCGAAAAUGCACUCCUUCAAAGAAAGAUUGCAUUUGCUUUUGCCAAGCCCCUGGAAACCCUACUAACUAAAACUAAAGCUUUACUAAAACAAGCUUAGACCUUCCAUCCACAUACCAAUUGUGUGAAUGCAAAUCACAAAUCUACAUUAUUUUUAUGAAUUCUAAACUUUUAUGAAGCAGAGAAUUUUUUUAUUCUUCUUCACCCAAAGCCAAGGACAAAACAGGCAAGUUUUCUUUCACUUUCCCUAUGCUGGUUGGAUUUUCUUUUUCUAGUUCACUUGUUCCUUAGGGUUAUAGCUUUUCAGGUCUUCCCUUGUUGCUUAGACUGAAGACUGUGCCUCUCGUCCCUCCACGUGGCUGUUGAAAUGCAAAGCUCUAGGUUACAGCAAUUACAGCAGUUACCCUUAGAGCAGUCACUGUCUUCAAUUUCUGUUCAUUAUGCCAGAUUUGCACUCCAGUCUUUUUUUUUUUUUUUUGAGCUCUAUGGAUUUCUCCUACUUAACUGUUAGCUUACUUAAUAAAAACAGAUUUAAGAAACAUUUUGAAUGUUUACGUACUAGCUUUUCUUGGUAUUCUGUAAUGUGAGUGCUUGUAUCAAUGGCAAAUUUUCAAAUAAUUUGUAAAUUAAGUGGUUACUAUGGUUAAUUUAGAAAUGCAGAAAAAUAGGAGAAUAAAAAAUUGUAGGAAUUUUGUAAACUAGAGAUAGCAUAACCAUUAUAAAAAUGUUGGAAUUUAAGAUUUUUUUUCAUAUAUGUUUUUACAUAAAUGAGAUUACACUACAUAUAUCCAUUUAAGCAUAAUUAAGAUAUUCUCAAGUAAGAAACUGAAUGAUUAUAUUGAGAGGUUGGCAGCAAAUAAUAUCAAAACUUUCCAAAUGAUAACCUCAAUCUUCAUAUCAUUAAAUACAAAUUUUUCAAUAUAGUAUUAAUUCAUCAUAUAUAUUUUUAACAAUAAAACUUUCCCUUCUGCAGUCCUCUACUUGUGGAAACACCAGUUUGUGUAGGGGACACAUGUUUUCAUUUCUCUUGGGUAUAUACCUAGGAAUGGAAUUGCUGUAUCAUAGGGUAAACCGAGUCUUAACUUUUUAAGGAACAGCCAAAUGGUUUCCAAAAGUCUGUACCAUUUAUGGUCCCAUCAGUAAGACGAGGAGAGUAGGACACAGAGACAGACAGAGGCCACAUGAAGACACUUUGACAACACAUGUUAUCAUCUAUCUUUUUAAAUUUUAGCCAUUCUACCGAGCAUAAAGUAGUGUCUCAUUGUAGUUUGGAUUUGCAUUUCUUUAAUGAAAAAUGAUGUUGAACAUGUUUUUAUGUGCUUAUUGUCUAUUUGUAUAUCUUUCCUGAAUUAUGUCUAUUCAGACUCUUUGCCCAUUUUUAUUGGGCUGUUUUUAUUUUUGAGCUGUGUUUUUAAUAUAUUCUGGAUACAAGUUCAUAUGAAGCACAUGAUUUGCAAAUUACUUUUCUCCUAUUCUGUGGGUUGUCUUUUCACUUUCUUGAUGGUGUUCUUUGAAGCACAGAAGUUUUAAUUUUGAUGAUGCUAAUUUACCUAUUUUUUUCUCACUUAUACUUUUGGUGUCUUAUCUAAGAAACUGUCACCUAAUCCAAGAUCAUGAAGAAUUACUCCUACGUUUUCUUUUAAGAGUUUUGUAGUUUUAGUUUUACAUUUAGGUCUACAAUCCAGUUUGAAUUAAUUGUAUACAUGAUGUGACAGAGAGUUCUAGCUUCAUCUCUUGCAUGUAGCUACCCAGUUGUCCUAGCAUCAUUUGUUGAAAAGACUAUUCUUUCCCCUAUUCAUUUGUCUUGGCAUUUUUAUAAAAAAUAAAUUGCAUAUCUAUGUAUUUUAAAUUCAGUUAUACAUACUGUCACUAGCCCUGCCAGGCAUCAUAUGUACUUACAAGCUGACAACUAGCACAGAAAUGAUUAUUAUCACUGGCCAUGGCAAAGAAUAAUGACCUGUUAUUUCCAAAGAUUCUGUGAAGAUGACUGUGCACCUGAGAAUUUGUUUGGUUUAUACAGACUAAGAUUCCGUCUGCUUUGUUCACUAUUGAGUUAGUAGCUAAACGGUUGUAAAAUUUCUCAAGUCUCUCAGAGCUCACACUUGCAGGAAGCUUGAUUUCACAACUUGUACAUGACAGUCUCACAUAAAAGUAGUCUCGUGAGAGUGUUACUAUGGACAGAAAAAUGACUAUACCUCUUUUAUGACUGCUGUUGUUAUUUGGGCUGCUUUUUUCUUGAUGUUGUUCCAAAAGCUUCCAUUUUGCAAUAAGCAGCAACACCUUAAGAUAGAUCUUAAACAGAACCAUGGUUAGGGCUUUUUUUCCUCCCCUUUAGUCACAGUGAUUUUCCAUUUGCCCUGGAAGGCAUUCAGCAUUACUUGUAAACAGCAAAGAUAAAUGUGGCUUCUGAUAAAAUAAAGAUAAAUAUUCAUCUUUAUGAAUAGUCCAUAUGUUUAUAAAUAGGAAUAGAAUGAAAGCACUGUCCCAAACUUUCCUUUCAAUUCAAAACAUCCAAAUGUAUUUUAAAUAUUCCACCCCAAUUAAUCUCACUUUUAAAUAAAACAUUGCAUGUCUAAGGUGGGAAAACAAGACCCUUCAGCAAUGCCACACAACUGCAUUUUUUUUUAAGUGGAUGGUCACUUUUAACUGAUACAGAGGAAAUUUAGGAGAGAAGAAAAGUAAUCAACUUUUCUAUAUCUGGAGUCCUUUAACCAAUAAACAGACAAACCAACAUAAAGUACACAUGGUAAGCUCAGCAUACAUAACUGAAUUUCUCUUUUUCAGCUUUUUCCCAUUUUUGCACCUCAGCCUGUCCAAUUGUGCAAAGAAAGGGAGGAUGAUUAAAUAUGCAACUGAGUAGUCAGGGCCUGUAGCUGCUGGGAGUUCCCCAAAGCUCUACGUCCCUCCCUCACCAGAACUUGUUUGCUCUCUCCAGCAAGUACCAUGUGCUAGGAUGCCCAAAUUCACCACUGUAAGCCCAAGACUGUGAGGUUCCUAGACAGCAGGAUUUUGCUCUAAAGAUCAUCCACAGAUCCACUCUUUAAUUUAACCCCAUCUUGGCAGGCAUAAGGAAUAGCACAAUGAAAAAAUGUAGCUCCUGCCCCCAAUAACUGUGUAAGAUUAGGAAACCAGCACUCAGAAGGUAUUUGAGCAUAAAGUUAAGUACUUAGUAAAAGUUUGUGGAUAAGGAAGGAAAGAAAGAGAAAAGGUGUGCAGGAGGGAGGAAGGAUGAAUUUGGAUUUCAUAUCUCAUACCAGAGAAAGAUGAAAGCAGCAUAUUGAGACAUAGAAGUGGUGUAAAAGACAAGAAGAGAUGAAUUAAAGAAGGCAUAGGAACCAGAAGUGGAAAAUUAUGGUAUAAUACUUCCGUGUCUUUGGAGACAAAUUGGAUUUGAAUCUUAGAUUUGCCAUUUACUAGCAGUGGUUUUGGACAAUUUACUUAAUUAUGUUUGAUCUUCAACCACUCUGUAAUGUGUAAGGAGUAACAAUAUCUACGUCAUUGGAAUUAUCAGAAGGAUUUAAUAAGUGUUAUCAAUUUAGUACAAUACCCAGCCCAUAGGAAGGACUCAGGAAAUAUUAGCCAUCAAUAGAAGAUGCUAUUUAUAUUUGGGUUUUCUUUAAUCCUGAGAUUCGACAUGGCACACAAAUGUAAACAUUUUCAAAUCAGUUCCAUGUGGUAGACCUCUAGAUUUUUUAUUUUUACCCUUGAAAUAGGUUUAAGACAAUGCCAUCAUGGAAAGCCUCUGUAGAAGAAACUAUUUAUUGUACCCAUUGCCUUUCUAAAAUCUGUCAAAUCUCUAAAGCUUCUCCCUUUUUGGAAGCUUAAACAGAAACUGAACCAUCAUAAAAUUCUUGAAGUUUGCCUUGAAUCUACUUUGGAGCUGCGUGAAUUGAGGCCUUUUGAUAACUGACCUUUGUUCUUCCAAAUAGGCCUGAUCCUGUGUAAAACGUAUACACCGCCCACCUGCCACCACCCCUGUGGCAGCAAUGUUUGAGGGCCUAAAUGUUUCUGUGGGGAGUUAUGACAGAAGUCAGCCAAAUGUAGGUAAUGAUGUUAGGCAGCACGGAAGGUUGGAGCACGGGAAGAGGCAGCGGGGAGCUUUAGGCAAGGAACCCUUGUAUCCAGCUGUGCCCAAUUGGCCUUCCCUGAGGACUUGAUAGGCACCCUGUUGUCACUUGUUACUCAGUAAUUGAGGUAACAGUCAAGGGAAAAAAACCUUUAUUUUUCACAAUGCCAUCUUUCAGCAAUGCAGCUUCAUGAGUGAAGACGGUGAUGUUCCAGUAGUUCAUCUAAACUCUUUAAAAUCCUACCAAAUACCUUACAGGUGGUGGGUGUGUAGUGGAAGUGGUUAGGAGCAGGAUAGGUACUAAGAUCUGUCUGAGAUGUGAAACUUCAUGAGUAAGAUUUGGUGUCUUCACCACAAUCAUUCAUAAUAACCAGAACUUUAGAUUCCUAACUGCAAUUAUUAAAGAUUGUAAAGGUUAUAUUAUACUGAGAUAUUCCUUUCGCCAAUAAACCUUUAAUGUUAUCCCAGAAUUAAAAUACCCUUUUGCAAAAUAAAAUGUUUAUCAAGUCUGCCAAAAAGAGGAGCCAAUUAUUUGGGUUUCUCUCUAGGAUUUUAAUAAAUUCCUUUGAUAGUCAAAGCAGUUAAGCAGGCUCACAUGGAACAAAAUAAAAGCACGAAAGCAGUCAAUCUCAUUUCCAAAGUGAACAAACAUAAACAUCGUUAUCAUUUCAAAUUUUUCACUUUUACAUUUUGCAGAUAAGAAUAACUUUUCUUACGUUUCUUACAGGUUCCUUAUUUCCUCAUUAAUUGAAAAACCAUAUUUAGAUACAUUUAUCACUAAUGAAUAUUUUUCAUAGUUUAAUCACAUUGAUUUGUUGAGCAUUAUCAGAAUAUAUAAUUCUUUAGAUAAGGAAUUGUGAACAGUCUCAUGGAUUAAUAUUUUCAGAACAUCAGUGUUUUAGCAAAUAAGAUGUUAUUGACAGCACAUUGUUAGCCUCACUACAUCUCAGUGCAGUUCUCACUUAAAUAAAUAUUUUAUAUAGUUCCUCAGUAGUGUUGACUGAGAAGAUGUUUUGCUUUAGAACUUAAAAACUGAGGAGAUGGAAUAGUUGCAAUUAGUGUUUGUGGUACAUUAAUUCCGGCAUCCUCUUCUGAUCAAAAUACAUAAUUGGCAAAUUUAUACACAUCAACACAAAGCCACAGAACAUUCCAAGGAUGCAAAGAAUUGUGGAUUCAAAGGAUAUAUCAUGCUUCCUUAGCCACCAAUGUAUUUUCAGUAGAAUGAAAAGUCUUACGGUACAUCACAACAUACUGGUCAACCUUUAGGACUUUCUCAAUUGCAAAGGGAGCUGGGUUACUCCUGCUAAUACCUACCUAUGCCCUCUCAGCAUGUGCCAUGAGAGGGCAGCACUGAGAGCGUCUCCAGCCCAGAAAGCGGUGGGCACUGUUAAGUAUGGGUUAACACCUAUGUUUUUAUGUGGAAGCAUUCAAGUCAGGCUGUGGUGAUAUAUGUUCUCAGAGUCUACUGUAGUAUCAUUUUAGUGCUUUUAUUACAAGUCAUCAAACACUGUAUCUGAAAAACAUGAGGAUAAAUUAUGGUACAUUCAAAAACUGCUGAUAAAUAACAAAGAAGAGAACAGGGUACUUUGGGAAUAUAAGGCCUUUUGAGUGAGAAAUGUUUUGUGCUAGCUAUGAGUGAGUUUUCUACAUGCAGAGAAAUUCCAUUACAUUGGUCCUCGGAACUGGUUAACAUUUUCUUGGUUCUUUGCUUAGUGUAGCAAAUAAAAAUCUAUUUAUUCUUUCUGGGAGUUCCCAAAAUAUCUUUAUUGAUUUGAAUUUUGCUUUUUCACUUUAUUAUAUAGUUGAUUUUAAGUUUCUCUUGGGUGUACUCAUGAGGUAGCCACAUAAAAUGGAACAACUUAUUUGUAAUAACAAAUAUUAUACAUGAGUUUUUUUUGACUGGCCCAGUUGCAAAGUAAAUCACUCUCCUCCUAAUUCUUUUUCAUAUUUUUUCUCUGGAUCAGAAAACGUUACUUUCUCAUACCCAGAGAAGUGUUAUAAAAUGAUACAUUGAGAUCAUCUGAUUCCCUCUUUAUUGUGAUUGUCUCUAAAAAAAAAAAAAAAAAAAAAAAAAGCAAAAAGCGGCCAUGAACUUAUAAAGAAUGUUUUAAA